rnacentral:rRNA from 1 species
CAAGUCGAACGGCAGCACGGGAGCAAUCCUGGUGGCGAGUGGCGAACGGGUGAGUAAUAUAUCGGAACGUGCCCAAUCGUGGGGGAUAACGCAGCGAAAGCUGUGCUAAUACCGCAUACGAUCUACGGAUGAAAGCGGGGGACUCAGCAAUGGGCCUCGCGCGAAUGGAGCGGCCGAUAUCAGAUUAGCUAGUUGGUGGGGUAAAGGCUCACCAAGGCGACGAUCUGUAGCUGGUCUGAGAGGACGACCAGCCACACUGGAACUGAGACACGGUCCAGACUCCUACGGGAGGCAGCAGUGGGGAAUUUUGGACAAUGGGCGCAAGCCUGAUCCAGCCAUGCCGCGUGAGUGAAGAAGGCCUUCGGGUUGUAAAGCUCUUUCAGACGGAAAGAAAUCGGGCGCGUGAAUAGCGUGCCUGGAUGACGGUACUGUCAGAAGAAGCACCGGCUAACUACGUGCCAGCAGCCGCGGUAAU